rnacentral:lncRNA from 1 species
CAUAAGAUCAAAGUCAUUGGCGCGUGGGUCCAAAGCAGUGACUCCUUUCUCUUUGCGACCAGUCCUGUCCAAGGAAUGGUAGUCGUCGAGACAGAUCACAGUGGUCGUGUCACUGAUGAGUGUGUUGGAAUCGGGGUUCCCGCCUUUCGGUGGCUCGGCGGCGCCGCCGAAGACGCUUGUGAGCCUCCGCAUGAAGGUGCUUUUGCCGCAUCCGGAGUCGGCGGCGAGUCCGAUCACGAUGGUUUGUUGUGCGGCGCAAGUGAUGAUUGUGUUGAAUCUACGGUUGGUUUGGGAUUGACGACGGUAGAAGAAGACUUGUUUCGAGGAGGAAGAAGAUGGAGAAGAGGUUAAGAAAUGAGUUGAGUUGAGAGCUUGUGUUGAGUAGAUUGUUGAGACAGCCAUUGUUGUUGUUUGGUUCCUGCUUCCUCUUCUUCUCCGCCUAAGCUCUCUGUUUUUUUCUUUUUUGGUUUUGUGAGCUAAGGUUGAGUGAUGAAUAUUAGGAUAGAAUGAAAGAAAUGUGGGUAACGAUUUUUGAUUUAUGGGUUUUUGUGUGGUGAUGUAAAGAUGUGGUUUUUCUUCAAAUAAAAAAAUAAAUGGGGUUUUUUUUUUAUGGGGGAAAGAGAGAAAUGAGAGGAUGAAAAUGGGUUUGUAGGAAAACAAAUGGCAAUUUGCAAAGAAGAAAAAAAGAGUUUUGUUUUGUUUUGAUUUUGAUAUGAUUUAGUGUGGUUUUUUAAUGAGUGGUUCAUGUUUUGGUUUCUUGAAGUAAAUUCAUCUGGUAAUGUUGUUAAAGAUAAGUUUUAGUCUCUUUGUUAAAGAUAAUUGUUGAUAAGUAAAAGAUUUCUAGCCCCAAAAAACCCAAGAAACAUGUAGAUUUACUUCCUUUUAGAUUUGCGUAAUCCCUAUUGUUUAAUAAUGAUUGGAUAUUGAAGUUUCGGAGAGAGUGAAGUUGCCGAUGAUGAAGUGAUAAAAC